UCUGAAAUAGCUCAGUUGGUAAAGUGUCAGACUAUAAAUCGAAAAGGUCUUUGGUUCGAUACCGGGUUCCGGCA
rnacentral:tRNA from 1 species